rnacentral:lncRNA from 1 species
CCGGCAGCCAACCAGUCGGGCCCAAGUCCGCGGGCAAGAAACGAUUGUGGACGAGUGAGCUCGGCACCCCGGUCCCCGUCCGGGUCCUCCCCCGCCCCCUCCUCGCCUGCCCGAGGCGGUAUAUCCUGUCCUCCCGGGCCACCUCCCCUCGUGGAAGCGGAGCGGCGGCCUCGUUGUAACGUAGAAGCGAAAUGUAGCGAGCCGGGUGUCGCGGCUGGACGCUCGCCUUGCUUGGGGGUGUGGGGGGAUAUACGGGGGCAGAGGAGGACUGCCGCGGAGGAGGAGUGAUGAGAAGAGGGGGUACCCUGCACCUCCCGAGACCACGGGCCCCUGCUGCCACUCGCCAGGCGCCCCCCUUCCUCCCAAGCGAGGGUCAGUGCUCCACACAGAUUCUCGUGAUUUUAAGGACCAGGCAACUGGGGAGGAACAAGGCCUUCCCAGGCAGGGAGGAAAUCUCUGGAAGAGAGGAAAAAAACAGAAGACACUGCCCUGGGACCAGCUGAACCUGGGGUGCUGUGGGAAGCUGAAGGAGCCGAGCAGGAGGAGUGGGAAGAAGCUCCAGCCAAUGGUCCAGGUUGUGUUCUCAACAAUCUGAAUUCAGUCUACUUCUCACAAGAGAGGGGCCACCUCAGGGGGCACUCCAGACUUGGGUUGAACCCUUCUUAUCUGGACGUCCCUCCGUCCCGCCCCCCCAUCUGAGGAGCCUGCCGCUGAGAACCAAAGAUUUCCCUCAGGCACAGUGCUGGGGCGGCUGGAGGCAGGCAUCUGCACCCCUAGUGGCUGGCCACUGCGUCUGGUGAGGAGUUGCUCUUUCCCCCCAGCUCACGGCUGCAGUGCUUGAUGGGGCUGCCUGUUGGUCGAUCAGUUUUUUCAGUGCCCGGUAGGAGCAGAGGGCCGUGGGAAGACGUCCUGCGGCACCCAAGCCUGGGUUCACCCCAAGAUUAAGUUAUUUCCUGAGUUAGAGAGGGAGAGAGAAAGCAAGGAGGGGAAAAGAAAGUUCUCCCC